UAGUCCUGGCAGUAGACGGUGUGCGCUUGGUGUGAGGGGAUUCGACCCCCCUUGAGCCGGAGCUAACGCGUUAAGCGCACCGCCUGGGAAGUACGGCCGCAAGGCUAAAACUCAAAGAAAUUGACGGGGACCCGCACAAGCGGUGGAGUAUGUGGCUUAAUUCGAUGCAACGCGAAGAACCUUACCAAGGCUUGACAUGCAUCUCUAAGCGCGUGAAAGCGCGUGACCCUUCGGGGGAUUUGCACAGGUGCUGCAUGGCCGUCGUCAGCUCGUGUCGUGAGAUGUUGGGUUAAGUCCCGCAACGAGCGCAACCCUUGUGACUAGUUGCCAGCACGUCAUGGUGGGAACUCUAGUCAGACUGCCCAGAUCAACUGGGAGGAAGGUGGGGACGACGUCAGGUCAGUAUGGCCCUUACGCCUUGGGCUGCACACGUACUACAAUGCCCAGCACAAUGAGAACCGAGACCGCGAGGUGGAGGAAAUCUGCAGAACUGGGCCCAGUUCGGAUUGGAGGCUGCAACUCGCCUCCAUGAAGCCGGAAUCGCUAGUAAUGACGCAUCAGCUACGGCGUCGUGAAUACGUUCCCGGGUCUUGUACACACCGCCCGUCACAUCAUGGAAGCCGGUCGCA
rnacentral:rRNA from 1 species